rnacentral:rRNA from 1 species
AUUGAACGCUGGCGGCAGGCCUAACACAUGCAAGUCGAGCGAGCGGCGGACGGGUGAGUAAUGUCUGGGAAACUGCCUGAUGGAGGGGGAUAACUACUGGAAACGGUAGCUAAUACCGCAUACCAUCAGAUGUGCCCAGAUGGGAUUAGCUAGUAGGUGGGGUAAAGGCCUACCAAGGCGACGAUCUGUAGCGGGUCUGGGAGGAUGAUCCGCCACACUGGGACUGGGACACGGGCCAGAAUCCUACGGGAAGCAACAAGGGGGGAUAUUGGACAAUGGGGGGAACCCUGAUCCAGCCAUGGCGCGGGUGUGAAGAAGGCCUUAUGGGUGUAAAGCACUUUAAGCGAGGAGGCGUUACUCGCAGAAUAAGCACCGGCUAACUCUGUGCCAGCAGCCGCGGUAAUAC